rnacentral:rRNA from 1 species
UACGGGGGGGGCAAGCGUUGUUCGGAAUUACUGGGCGUAAAGGGCUCGUAGGUCGCCAACUAAGUCAGACGUGAAAUCCCUCGGCUUAACCGGGGAACUGCGUCUGAUACUGGAUGGCUUGAGUUUGGGAGAGGGACGCGGAAUUCCAGGUGUAGCGGUGAAAUGCGUAGAUAUCUGGAGGAACACCGGUGGCGAAGGCGGCGUCCUGGACCAACACUGACACUGAGGAGCGAAAGCCAGGGGAGCAAACGGG